GGCGUUCAAAGGUUCUCUCAGGUUGGAUGGAAAUCAACCGCAGAGUGCAAUGGCAAAAGAGAGCUUGACUGCAAGACUGACGGGUCGAGCAGAUGCGAAAGCAGGACAUAGUGAUCCGGCGAUUCCGCAUGGAAGGGUCGUCGCUCAACGGAUAAAAGCUACCCUGGGGAUAACAGGCUGAUCCUACCCGAGAGUCCAUAUCGACGGUAGGGUUUGGCACCUCGAUGUCGGCUCAUCGCAUCCUGGGGCUGGAGA
rnacentral:rRNA from 1 species